AACUGAAUAGGUGAUGAAGUUCGCCUUAACUAUCUUUUAGAUUAAUGACUUCUACAUUUUA
rnacentral:ncRNA from 2 species